CUGCAAGGACGGUCAUUGGACAUUAGUUGCCAUGUAUCCAAAAGAAGGACGGGCCGUUUUUAUUGACCCCUUCGGUGCCACCCCAGCAAAAAUAAAGAAAUGCAAAGAUUCAACGAGGGCUUUCAUGCGGAAAAGAAUGGGGAAUCUCUCAAGGUGGCUGUGCGCCACAAUUCCCCAUCCCCGCCAACAGGACCUUACCUCCUGUGGCGUUAUUGCUUGCAAAAUAGCGGAGCUGCUAUUAAGGGGAGAUCCAAUGGAGAUUGAUGUCACAGAGGAGGGCAUCAACUCCAUUCGAUCAGAAAUGGGC